UAUAGAUGGACUGGUAAAUGGUCUAUAGGUGGACUAGUAAACGGUCUAUAGAUGGACUAGUAAACGGUCUAUAGAUGGACUGGUAAACGGUCUAUAGAUGGACUGGUAAACGGUCUAUAGAUGGACUAGUAAACGGUCUAUAGAUGGACUGGUAAACGGUCUAUAGAUGGACUGGUAAACGGUCUAUAGAUGGACUGGUAAACGGUCUAUAGCCUUUGGAUCUAGAGCUCUUUCUGGGGCAGAACAAAACUAUGCCCAAAUAGAAAAAUAAGUCCUGGCAAUAGAGAUCGGACUAGAGGUUUCACCAGUAUGUCUAUGGUUUCCAGGUCUGAGUUCAAUCCGAC
rnacentral:lncRNA from 1 species